rnacentral:rRNA from 1 species
GUCUACAGCCAUACCACCCUGAACGCGCCUGAUCUCGUCUGAUCUUGGAAGCUAAGCAGGGUCGGGCCUGGUUAGUACUUGGAUGGAAGAAGUAUUUGCCUGUCUGUCCCAGUGCACUGAGUACA